CUUGUCGAGCACCUAUGACGUGCUCGGCCCUGGGGAUACAGCAGGGAAACGGAGAGAAUGUCUUUUCUGGGGAAGAAGGGGGAUAGAGAAGGAAAGCAGAAGACCAUGUGAGAUGAAGGAAACCAAAGGGGUGACGAGGUGUCUACUUCCUGCCUGCCAGACAGGAAACUGCUGAGGUGAGGAGUCUGGGGGCACCCCAUCCCUACCCCGGAGGAGUUCCGUCAGGUGGAAAAGAUCAUCAAAGACCAGAGGGCGGAGAGCCCGCCACACGUUGGGAGACGCAUCUGCCAGGUGUUGGGGGGGGGCACCCCAAUGCCAUGCCCGGCUAUGGUAGAUGGAGAAGAAGGACUCCAGGCUCUGCUCUUCCCCAGGACAUGCCACACAGGAGACACGACCAUGCCUCUGGGUAGCCCCUAGGCUGUGAACCCCCAGACUCACCCGGGGUGCAGGCCUGCUGCCAAGGUGCCUGCUCCAGGAAGUCUCCUCACCUCCGUUCAGCUGGGCGCCCCCUGCAUCUCCCGACUCCUGCAGUGCCCAUGUGUCCUCCCC
ensembl:lncRNA